rnacentral:rRNA from 1 species
GUUAAGCGACUAAGCGUACACGGUGGAUGCCCUGGCAGUCAGAGGCGAUGAAGGACGUGCUAAUCUGCGAUAAGCGUCGGUAAGGUGAUAUGAACCGUUAUAACCGGCGAUUUCCGAAUGGGGAAACCCAGUGUGUUUCGACACACUAUCAUUAACUGAAUCCAUAGGUUAAUGAGGCGAACCGGGGGAACUGAAACAUCUAAGUACCCCGAGGAAAAGAAAUCAACCGAGAUUCCCCCAGUAGCGGCGAGCGAACGGGGAGCAGCCCAGAGCCUGAAUCAGUGUGUGUGUUAGUGGAAGCGUCUGGAAAGGCGCGCGAUACAGGGUGACAGCCCCGUACACAAAAAUGCACAUGCUGUGAGCUCGAUGAGUAGGGCGGGACACGUGGUAUCCUGUCUGAAUAUGGGGGGACCAUCCUCCAAGGCUAAAUACUCCUGACUGACCGAUAGUGAACCAGUACCGUGAGGGAAAGGCGAAAAGAACCCCGGCGAGGGGAGUGAAAAAGAACCUGAAACCGUGUACGUACAAGCAGUGGGAGCACGCUUCGGCGUGUGACUGCGUACCUUUUGUAUAAUGGGUCAGCGACUUAUAUUCUGUAGCAAGGUUAACCGAAUAGGGGAGCCGAAGGGAAACCGAGUCUUAACUGGGCGUUAAGUUGCAGGGUAUAGACCCGAAACCCGGUGAUCUAGCCAUGGGCAGGUUGAAGGUUGGGUAACACUAACUGGAGGACCGAACCGACUAAUGUUGAAAAAUUAGCGGAUGACUUGUGGCUGGGGGUGAAAGGCCAAUCAAACCGGGAGAUAGCUGGUUCUCCCCGAAAGCUAUUUAGGUAGCGCCUCGUGAAUUCAUCUCCGGGGGUAGAGCACUGUUUCGGCAAGGGGGUCAUCCCGACUUACCAACCCGAUGCAAACUGCGAAUACCGGAGAAUGUUAUCACGGGAGACACACGGCGGGUGCUAACGUCCGUCGUGAAGAGGGAAACAACCCAGACCGCCAGCUAAGGUCCCAAAGUCAUGGUUAAGUGGGAAACGAUGUGGGAAGGCCCAGACAGCCAGGAUGUUGGCUUAGAAGCAGCCAUCAUUUAAAGAAAGCGUAAUAGCUCACUGGUCGAGUCGGCCUGCGCGGAAGAUGUAACGGGGCUAAACCAUGCACCGAAGCUGCGGCAGCGACACUGUGUGUUGUUGGGUAGGGGAGCGUUCUGUAAGCCUGUGAAGGUGUACUGUGAGGUAUGCUGGAGGUAUCAGAAGUGCGAAUGCUGACAUAAGUAACGAUAAAGCGGGUGAAAAGCCCGCUCGCCGGAAGACCAAGGGUUCCUGUCCAACGUUAAUCGGGGCAGGGUGAGUCGACCCCUAAGGCGAGGCCGAAAGGCGUAGUCGAUGGGAAACAGGUUAAUAUUCCUGUACUUGGUGUUACUGCGAAGGGGGGACGGAGAAGGCUAUGUUGGCCGGGCGACGGUUGUCCCGGUUUAAGCGUGUAGGCUGGUUUUCCAGGCAAAUCCGGAAAAUCAAGGCUGAGGCGUGAUGACGAGGCACUACGGUGCUGAAGCAACAAAUGCCCUGCUUCCAGGAAAAGCCUCUAAGCAUCAGGUAACAUCAAAUCGUACCCCAAACCGACACA